rnacentral:rRNA from 1 species
GAUGAACGCUGGCGGCGUGCCUAAUACAUGCAAGUCGAGCGAACAGAUGAGGAGCUUGCUCCUCUGACGUUAGCGGCGGACGGGUGAGUAACACGUGGAUAACCUACCUAUAAGACUGGGAUAACUUCGGGAAACCGGAGCUAAUACCGGAUAAUAUAUUGAACCGCAUGGUUCAAUAGUGAAAGACGGUUUUGCUGUCACUUAUAGAUGGAUCCGCGCCGCAUUAGCUAGUUGGUAAGGUAACGGCUUACCAAGGCAACGAUGCGUAGCCGACCUGAGAGGGUGGUCGGCCACACGGGAACUGACACACGGUCCAGACCCCUACGGGAGGCAGCAGUAGGAAAUCUUCCGCAAUGGGCGAAAGCCUGACGGAGCAACGCCGCGGGAGGGAUGAAGGUCUUCGGAUUGUAAAACUCUUUUAUUAGGGAAGAAAAAAUGUGUAAGUAACUAUGCACGUUUUGACGGUACCUAAUCAAAAGACCCCGGCUAACUACGU